GAUGUUUAAGGAUCCAACUCCUCCUGAACAGGGACAUCUAUAGCCAGAUCGAGUUGCUCAGAUUUGUGCACAGCCCUUCAAAUACUGAAUGGUCAGAUCACAAAUUGUUGAAAGUUGCCUCCAUCCAGCAACAUCCUGCAGUAACUCCUGGCAGCUCUGGAGUUGGUGGUAAAGAGGUGCUGUGCCCCUACAGAGCCCGAAGGAUCUGCACAGAAAGGCUGUCUGCCCUGAGUCAGCUCUCUGCAGUCAGGUGCCCAUGGUGCGCUUCCCCAGCAGCAGAGGUGUGAGUGGCAAGAGAACAUGUAUGCCUGCAUGCCAGAACCAGCACCCAUGGAAACCUUGAUGAAAAGCUGGAGGACAGGAUGUGGAGAUGGACUUAAUGUACAAUAACAAGUUAUCAUGAUUCAUA